CCUACGGGUGGCAGCAGUGGGGAAUAUUGCACAAUGGGCGCAAGCCUGAUGCAGCCAUGCCGCGUGUGUGAAGAAGGCCUUCGGGUUGUAGAGCACUUUCAGCGGGGAGGAAGGCGGUGAGGUUAAUAACCUCAUCGAUUGACGUUACCCGCAGAAGAAGCACCGGCUAACUCCGUGCCAGCAGCCGCGGUAAUACGGAGGGUGCAAGCGUUAAUCGGAAUUACUGGGCGUAAAGCGCACGCAGGCGGUCUGUCAAGUCGGAUGUGAAAUCCCCGGGCUCAACCUGGGAACUGCAUUCGAAACUGGCAGGCUAGAGUCUUGUAGAGGGGGGUAGAAUUCCAGGUGUAGCGGUGAAAUGCGUAGAGAUCUGGAGGAAUACCGGUGGCGAAGGCGGCCCCCUGGACAAAGACUGACGCUCAGGUGCGAAAGCGUGGGGAGCAAACAGGAUUAGAUACCCCGGUAGUC
rnacentral:rRNA from 1 species